GUAGUUGAGGAGGGUCUACUUUUUUAACCUUGUAUUCGAGAAGCUCCUUUCUUUCCUUCUUUUUUACUGCCUCUAGGGCUGUAUUUAGCUUUUCUGCUUCAUAAUUUUUAUCUAAGAACAUAUUUUUCAAUGAGGUAGACUGAACGUUAAAAUCAGCUUUUUGAGAACAGUUUCGGUGAAGGCGGAGAAAUUGGCUUUUUGGGAUACCAUCCAACCAGGGUUUAUG